CCUACGGGCGGCAGCAGUGGGGAAUAUUGGACAAUGGGCGAAAGCCUGAUCCAGCCAUGCCGCGUGUGUGAAGAAGGCCUUCGGGUUGUAAAGCACUUUCAGUGGGGAAGAAAGCCUUGGGGCUAAUACCCUCGAGGAAGGACAUCACCCACAGAAGAAGCACCGGCUAACUCCGUGCCAGCAGCCGCGGUAAUACGGAGGGUGCGAGCGUUAAUCGGAAUUACUGGGCGUAAAGCGCGCGUAGGCGGUCUGAUAAGCCGGUUGUGAAAGCCCCGGGCUCAACCUGGGAACGGCAUCCGGAACUGUCAGGCUAGAGUGCAGGAGAGGAAGGUAGAAUUCCCGGUGUAGCGGUGAAAUGCGUAGAGAUCGGGAGGAAUACCAGUGGCGAAGGCGGCCUUCUGGACUGACACCGACGCUGAGGUGCGAAAGCGUGGGUAGCAAACAGGAUUAGAUACCCGGGUAGUC
rnacentral:rRNA from 1 species